rnacentral:lncRNA from 1 species
GCAGCAAAACGAACCUGAGGAGAAAACCGGUUAAGAAACCUCCAAUAUGCGCAAAGUUGUCGAUGUGAGGAAGAAUCCUCACUGCUAAGUUAAUGACAAUGAUGACCGUGAGUGUGAUCAGAGCUGCAGCCUACAAAUUAAGGUAAAAAAUCAAUAUCCUCUAUUACUUUUCAAGCCACAUGAAAAAAGAAAUCACAUAUAACUCUGGUUUCCCUUCAUUGUAUUUCUAAGUAGAUAGGAACCCGAGGCAACUAAUAUUACCUUAUUUGUAUAGAUAGUCCAAUUAGUCAGCAGCUCUGACAACAUUGCUCCAAGAAGGCCAAAUAAAGCACCAGAGGCACCAACAGAAAUGCUACGUUGAAUGAAAAGAGACGAUAGUACGCUACCACUGCAAAAGGGAACAGAUAACGUACUGAAUCCAAAUUGUUGUUCAAGGCGAAUUCCAAUGAAGAUCAAGCUCAACAUGUUUGCAAGAAGAUGAAUAACACCAGCGUGCAGCCAGAUGCAAGUGAUAAGCCUCCACGUUUGAUUGCCAUGCACUACCUUGUCCCAUUUUAAGGCUCCCAAUUUUUCCAAUCUGAAGGAGGAGGAGAAAGAACAACAUAAAAUUACACAACUCGCGAUUAUCAACGACGACAUGGCAUAAUAAAAAAAAGGAUUUGCAUUAGACCAUACAAAAACAAAAAUAAAGCUACAAAUCAACUAACUUCAUUAACCAGUCCUUGAUUUCCAGACAAAGUUCAUUACCCAAAUUAACAAAGUAACUAACUUAAGUUCCUAUAAAACCAUUAAUCCUUAAAUUAACAAAGCAACUAACUUCAUUACCCAGUCCAUGAUUUCCAGACAUGCCAUUAUUUAACAACGCUCAAAUUUGACUCAAUUGAUAGCUCGACCCAGUUCGAGUCUUUCUUCAAGUAGUUUGCAAGCACUUUUACACCCCUACUAUAGACAAAGCAAACCAUGACAUUUCAUAUUGAGAAUUCCUAUUGCUGCUAAAUGAACAAGGAAGAACAAAUCUAAUAAUAACCUUAAAUAAUAUCAAUCAUAUCAGACACAAAUUUCCAAUAGAAUCAAAAUAAAUCACAGAUUGAUAUAUCCUUUAGCAUGAUCCAAGGAUAAUCCUAUAGAAGAUCAAUUGGGAACUGCAGUUGAAUCAUCAAAUAAGAACUUCCUACAUGAACAACUUCUAAAAGAUACCGUCAGUCCAUAUCUAAAACUUGCAAUCAAUUUUUUUCCCCUUCUUUAGAAUUGAAAGUUGCAA